UUGCCCAUUCAAGGCUUUCAGUGUUUUGAGUGGCCAUCACAGGGGGGUAGAGCAACCCUCACUAAAACCCGGGACAGAGGCCCUAUCCCUGUUCCGGAUCCUGUCGUGGGGAACACUA